rnacentral:rRNA from 1 species
UACGUAGGGUGCGAGCGUUGUCCGGAAUUAUUGGGCGUAAAGGGCUCGUAGGCGGUUUGUCGCGUCGGGAGUGAAAACCUUGGGCUUAACUCAGGGCUUGCUUUCGAUACGGGCAGACUAGAGGUAUGCAGGGGAGAACGGAAUUCCUGGUGUAGCGGUGAAAUGCGAAGAUAUCAGGAGGAACACCGGUGGCGAAGGCGGUUCUCUGGGCAUGAUCUGACGCUGAGGAGCGAAAGUGUGGGGAGCGAACAGG